rnacentral:rRNA from 1 species
AUACGUAGGGGGCGAGCGUUGUCCGGAAUUAUUGGGCGUAAAGCGCGCGCAGGCGGUCCCUUAAGUCUGAUGUGAAAGCCCACGGCUCAACCGUGGAGGGUCAUUGGAAACUGGGAGACUUGAGUGUAGGAGAGGAGAGCGGAAUUCCACGUGUAGCGGCGAAAUGCGUAGAUAUGUGGAGGAACACCCGUGGCGAAAGCGGCUCUCUGGCCUAUAACUGACGCUGAGGCGCGAAAGCGUGGGGAGCGAACAGGAUUAGAUACCCUGGUAGUCCACGCCGUAAACGAUGAGUGCUAGGUGUUGGGGACUCCAAUCCUCAGUGCCGCAGCUAACGCAAUAAGCACUCCGCCUGGGGAGUACGGCCGCAAGGCUGAA